UACGUAGGGAGCAAGCGUUGUCCGGAUUUACUGGGUGUAAAGGGUGCGCAGGCGGAUUAGUAAGUCAGGGGUGAAAUCUCACGGCUCAACCGUGAAAUUGCCUUUGAUACUGCUAAUCUUGAGUUCGGGAGAGGUCGAUGGAAUUCCAGGUGUAGCGGUGAAAUGCUUAGAUAUCUGGAAGAACACCAGUAGCGAAGGCGGUCGACUGGCCCGUAACUGACGCUCAGGCACGAAAGCGUGGGGAGCGAACAGG
rnacentral:misc_RNA from 1 species